UCCCGCUGGGAGGGAGAGUGCA
rnacentral:misc_RNA from 1 species